CCACCGGCGGACGUUGGUUAGUGUUAGUUAUGGAAACGGGGCCACAGAAAAGAAGGGAGCCCAGAUUAUGCACAUAUGUCGCCAGUGUCGCCCAUGUUGACAUUCUGACAUCGUGAAAUUUCAAUGAAUCCUGUGAUUUCAAAUGCCAAAUUGAACUUCGUAUCAUAUAUGCAUACUGUCAGUCAUUCCAACAAGUUGACUUAGCGC